AGUUCAACAAGUUGAACUUUCAAAACGACAAGAUGACGCUUACGCUACUAGCUAGUAACCACGCAAAGCGGAAGUUUUAGACGCGCGACUAAAGCGACUGCCUAGUGUGUUUCAGCCUUUAAGCCCGCCGCACAAUGGUGAACUUGCCGCACGUACUUGUUAUUCGUGACAAGUGCGAUAAACAAAAGUUCCUAGUGUGCGCGGAAGUUUUGAACAACAUUUGUCAUUCGUGACAGAUGAGUCAAAUAUCAAACGCGUUUGAUAUUUUUUGUCACGAGUGACAAAAAGUCCUAGUGUGCGGAGAGCAAGCAGCAAGUGCGCUGUAAAUGACAAAAAUGCGCACGCGCGAGAUUAAGAAAACAAAAUGGCAGAUUUGUUGAAUGCAUUAAAUUCAUUGUUGGACGACGACGAUUUCUCAGAGGACGAAGAAGCGCUGCUACUACUUUUAUUGCUACGAAGACGUCGUAGAAGGUUAAGGGCAGCAAAUCGUAAAAUAUGGACGAAACAGUUGCUCUUAAGAAGAAAAAACACAAGGUGUCUGUGAUAAUUUAUUGAGAGCUAGCAGUAGAAGAUCCUGAACAGUUCCGUCAGUAUCAUAGAUUGGACAGGCAAUCAUUUGAAGAUAUUUUGAAGAUUGUUUUUCCAUACAUUGUGAAACAAGGCACGUAAACGAGGACAGCGUUAAAACCUCGCGAAAGACUGGGAGUAACCCUGCGAUUUCUUGCAACAGGUGAAACAUUUUGUAGUCUGUCAUUCCAGUUUAGAAUUGGCGAGCGUACAAUUUCGAAUAUUGUUGAGGAAACAUGCCAUGCUUUGUAUAUCUCGUUAAAGGAAACAUGUUUGGAGGCAAGUUAUUAAACAUUCAUAACAAAUAUCGGUAGUAUUAUUAACAAUAAAUGUUUACAUCCAUUAAGAGCUCAUGUUGUCAUAGGCAGAAGUGUCUUGACCUGAAUUAAGCUCUCUAGAAAUUGGUGAAGACCAUAUAUUAACAACAGGACGGCUCAAUCCACCAUCUAUUGGGGAAGAUGUGUUGUAUCGAUAACUAUUUGUCAUAUGAUUGCUGAUGGGGUGCAUGUUGUUUUGUGCAUAAGGUGUUUGAAACAUAUGUUGGUGCAUAGCUACUGGCACUCUUGUGCUUUGAUGUACUCCAUCUUGUGCAGAAGAAUGGAAGGCUGUUGCAGACGAAUUUGAAAAAAAAUGGAACUAUCCUGGCUGCAUUGGAGCUCUAGAUGUGAAACACAUAGCCAUACAACAACCAAAUAGUAGUGGAUCAGAAUUUUUAAACUACAAGCAUUUUUUCAGUGUUUUGCUUUUAGCUCUAGUAGAUGCAAACUACAAGUUUGUCUAUGUUAGUGUUGGAGCAGCAGGCCGUGCAGGAGAUGCUGGCAUGUAUAACGAGUCUAGCUUGCGAAAAGCUGUUGUUGAAAAUACUCUUGGUCUACCAUUACCAAUUGAAAUUCAUGCAUGACAAAUUUGAAUCCAUUCAACACAGACAGAAAUACUUCUAAUAGUGCCAAAAUGCAACGUGAAAUUCUGACGACAUAUUUUAACACUUGUGGAGCUGUAUCAUGGCAGGACAACAUUAUCUAGCAGUAGCACUUACUCUUAAUUAUAUAUAUAUAUAUAUAUAUGUUGUGCUAAAUAUUAAUUGUUUGGAAAAUCAAAAUAAAACAAGAAUUUCACUUACAGUAACAAUAUUUGAAAUGGGAACUCUUGUUGCCACGAAAGGAGAGAGGAACUUCAGUUUAUCCAGCAACCAGCUACCUCGCUUCGUAAGAUUUUUGCGAGCGCUACCACUUGGAGGAGGUUUUUUGACUCGUGUGUAAGCUGUAAGCAUUUCUCAAUGCUUUUAUUUAAGCCUUGACCCUAUCAACUAAGUAUGAAAUUGACGUGUAAGUUCCAUUGCGACUAUUGAUUAUAUUUUCCAGCAAAUAAAUCUCUGCUCAACAGCGUGAACUGAAUAAAAGAACUAAAAGAUUGGAGAAUGACUAUAUAACAAACACUUAUAAAGUCGAUAUUUAUUAUUAACAAAUAACAACCUGUUUGCCCAAGA